ACGGGAGGCAGCAGUGGGGAAUAUUGGGCAAUGGGGGAAACCCUGACCCAGCAACGCCGCGUGAGGGAAGAAGGUUUUCGGAUCGUAAACCUCUGUCCUUGGUGAAGAGGAAGAGGCGGUAGCCAAGGAGGAAGCCCCGGCUAACUACGUGCCAGCAGCCGCGGUAAUACGUAGGGGGCAAGCGUUGUCCGGAAUGAUUGGGCGUAAAGGGCGCGUAGGCGGCCCGGUAAGUCUGAAGUGAAACUCCUGUUUUUAAGAUGGGAACUGCUUUGGAUACUGUCGGGCUUGAGUGCAGGAGAGGUUAGUGGAAUUCCCAGUGUAGCGGUGAAAUGCGUAGAGAUUGGGAGGAACACCAGUGGCGAAGGCGACUAACUGGACUGUAACUGACGCUGAGGCGCGAAAGUGUGGGGAGCAAACAGGAUUAGAUACCCUGGUA
rnacentral:rRNA from 1 species